rnacentral:rRNA from 1 species
CCUACGGGUGGCAGCAGUGGGGAAUAUUGCGCAAUGGGCGAAAGCCUGACGCAGCGACGCCGCGUGAGGGAUGAAGGUCUUCGGAUCGUAACCCUCUGUCAGCAGGGAAGAACGGUCACUGUGCUAAUCAGCAGUGACUUGACCGUACCUGCACAGGAAGCACCGGCUCACUCCGUGCCAGCAGCCGCGGAAAUACGGAGGGUGCGAGCGUUAAUCGGACUUACUGGGCGUAAGGCGCUCGUAGGCGGGAUGGCAAGUCAAGGGUGAAAUCCCCGCGCUCAAGGUGGGAACUGCCUUGGAAACGGGCAAACGGGAGUGUGUGAGAGGAUAGUGGAAUGCCAGGUGUAGGAGUGA